rnacentral:rRNA from 1 species
AUGAUGCCCAGCUUGCUGGGCGGAUUAGUGGCGAACGGGUGAGUAAUACGUGAGUAACCUGCCCUUGACUCUGGGAUAAGCCUGGGAAACUGGGUCUAAUACUGGAUACUACUGCGCAUCGCAUGGUGUGUGGUGGAAAGGGUUCUACUGGUUUUGGAUGGGCUCACGGCCUAUCAGCUUGUUGGUGGGGUAAUGGCUCACCAAGGCGACGACGGGUAGCCGGCCUGAGAGGGUGACCGGCCACACUGGGACUGAGACACGGCCCAGACUCCUACGGGAGGCAGCAGUGGGGAAUAUUGCACAAUGGGCGGAAGCCUGAUGCAGCGACGCCGCGUGAGGGAUGACGGCCUUCGGGUUGUAAACCUCUUUCAGCAGGGAAGAAGCGAGAGUGACGGUACCUGCAGAAGAAGCGCCGGCUAACUACGUGCCAGCAGCCGCGGUAAUACGUAGGGCGCAAGCGUUGUCCGGAAUUAUUGGGCGUAAAGAGCUCGUAGGCGGUUUGUCGCGUCUGCUGUGAAAGCCCGGGGCUCAACCCCGGGUCUGCAGUGGGUACGGGCAGACUAGAGUGCAGUAGGGGAGACUGGAAUUCCUGGUGUAGCGGUGAAAUGCGCAGAUAUCAGGAGGAACACCGAUGGCGAAGGCAGGUCUCUGGGCUGUUACUGACGCUGAGGAGCGAAAGCAUGGGGAGCGAACAGGAUUAGAUACCCUGGUAGUCCAUGCCGUAAACGUUGGGCACUAGGUGUGGGGGACAUUCCACGUUCUCCGCGCCGUAGCUAACGCAUUAAGUGCCCCGCCUGGGGAGUACGGCCGCAAGGCUAAAACUCAAAGGAAUUGACGGGGGCCCGC